rnacentral:rRNA from 1 species
GAUCAUGGCUCAGAGUGAACGCUGGCGGUAGGCCUAACACAUGCAAGUCGAACGGCAGCACAGUAAGAGCUUGCUCUUAUGGGUGGCGAGUGGCGGACGGGUGAGGAAUACAUCGGAAUCUACCUUUUCGUGGGGGAUAACGUAGGGAAACUUACGCUAAUACCGCAUACGACCUCGGUGAAGCAGGGGACCGUUCGGGCCGUUGUCGCGGAGUAGAUGAGCCGAUGUCGGAUUAGCUAGUUGGCGGGGUAAGGG